UAAAGAACCUGCCUCAUAGACGGGGACAACUAUUGGAAACGAUAGCUAAUACCGGAUAACAGCAUAAAUCGCAUGAUAUAUGUUUAAAAGUUGGUUUCGGCUAACACUAUGAGAUGGCUUUGCGGUGCAUUAGCUAGUUGGUGGGGUAAAGGCCUACCAAGGCGACGAUGCAUAGCCGACCUGAGAGGGUGAUCGGCCACACUGGGACUGAGACACGGCCCAG
rnacentral:rRNA from 2 species